AUAAAGUGGAGACCAGAGACCACUCCAAAAACGGGGCGUAUUCUGAAAAGCCAAAUGAGUAGGAAAAAU
rfam:Bacteroidetes bacterium RIFCSPLOWO2_12_FTLL_37_12 rifcsplowo2_12_scaffold_495, whole genome shotgun sequence.